CAGUCGCCGCGGUAAAACGUAGGGUGCAAGCGUUAAUCGGAUUUAUUGGGCGUAAAGGGUGCGUAGGCGGUUUGGCAAGUCUUAUGUGAAAUCUUCGGGCUCAACCCGAAGCCUGCAUGAGAAACUACCGGGCUUGAGUAUGGGAGAGGUGAGUGGAAUUUCCGGUGUAGCGGUGAAAUGCGUAGAUAUCGGAAGGAACACCUGUGGCGAAAGCGGCUCACUGGACAAUAACUGACGCUGAUGCACGAAAGCUAGGGGAGCAAACAGGAUUAGAUACCCGGGUAGUCCCUGUCUCUUAUAA
rnacentral:rRNA from 1 species